CAGCCGCCACGGUAAUACGUAGGGUGCGAGCGUUAAUCGGAAUUACUGGGCGUAAAGCGUGCGCAGGCGGUCUUGUAAGACAGGCGUGAAAUCCCCGGGCUCAACCUGGGAAUGGCGCUUGUGACUGCAAAGCUAGAGUGCGGCAGAGGGGGAUGGAAUUCCGCGUGUAGCAGUGAAAUGCGUAGAUAUGCGGAGGAACACCGAUGGCGAAGGCAAUCCCCUGGGCCUGCACUGACGCUCAUGCACGAAAGCGUGGGGAGCAAACAGGAUUAGAUACCCGAGUAGUCCCUGUCUCUUAUAC
rnacentral:rRNA from 1 species